rnacentral:rRNA from 1 species
GACGAACGCUGGCGGCGUGCUUAACACAUGCAAGUCGAGGGCACUAUUGGGGCAACCUGGUAGUGACCGGCGAACGGGUGCGUAACACGUGAGCGACCUUGCCUCGUGGUGGGGGAUAGGCCGGCCCAACGGCCGGGUAAUACCGCAUAUGGUAGUUUCUUCGCAUGAGGAGACUAGCAAAGCCUUGGAGCAAUCCAAUGGCGCCACAGGGGGGGCUCGCGGCCUAUCAGCAGUUGGGGGGUAAUGGCCCACCAAGGCGACGACGGGUAGCUGGUCUGAGAGGAUGGCCAGCCACAUUGGGACUGAGAG